rnacentral:lncRNA from 10 species
UACCGAUGCAUGGCCUGGGUGCCGAGACACCCACGACCAGACAGACACAGCCCUGCCUUCCUGGGGCCUGUGAUGGGGUCAGCCACGUAGUAGCCAUCCAUCGCCAAUGUGCUUUGACACACAUCACCUCGUUUGGUAAAAAUCGGUCCAGGUGCAAGGGCCGGCCUGAAAGGAGCAAGGAGCCUGGAAGACGGAUGAGGUUGGAACAGAAACAGCAAGUGGUGUGUCUGGCUGAAGCACACGAGUGCAGUCAGAGAUGAAGCUGGGAAGGUGUCUGGCAUCUCCCUACCAUAAAACUUAAACCAUGAAGCGUUUGGUCCCAUGAAGAGCCGUGUGGAUACCAUCUGCAUCCCUGACUAGGGAAGAAGGGGACUGUGACAAAAGGAGAGUCCCUGCUAGACAGCAGCGGGGACUGGAAGCCCCUUUCAGGGCAGGAGGAGGGGAAGGGAGGCUGAAAGUCAGGCGUGAGGCGUCUGGGGGCAGUAGAAAGAUUCAGAUAGGUUUGGGGGAUCCGAGGACAUCAGAGCUGGUGCCUAUGUCCCCAGGAUGCAUCCUAAGGGGUCUGCGAGGCUCACCUUAGGCCUGACAUUGCACCCAGUGUGGCCAGGCUGCAGCAGAUGGAAAUGACUGAGGGUCCCCAGUCCCCAGGCAGAGGGGCUGAGGACAGUCUCACAGAGACCCCCAACCCCUGCAGCUGAGUGGAGGAAGCCCAGGAACUGAAUGGGAUGGUCUUAUGGGUUGAAGUGUGUCCCCAAAAAAGAUAUGCUGCGGCCCUAACCCCCAGUACCUGUGAAUGUGACCUUAUUUGGAAAUAAAGGUCCUUGCAGAUAUAAUUAAGAAGAGGUCAUUAGGUGGGGCCUAAUCCAAUAUGAGUGGUGUUCUUAGAAGAAGAGGAAAAUGCCAUGUGACAUUGGAGGCAGAGAGUGGAGAGAUGCAUUUGUAAGUCUGGGGCUAAAGCCGGAAAGGCAAGAAAGGACCUUCCCCUAGAGGUUUCAGAGGAGGCACGGCACUGCCCACACAUUGAUUUCAGACUUCUGGCCUCUGGGACUGUGAGAGAACACAUUUCUGUGGUUUUCAACCACCGGGUUUGUGGGACUUUAUUAGAGCAGCCACAGAAAAAAACAACAUAUGGGAAGAAGAUUGACUGUGAAUUGGAAGUUUUCAGGGCAAAGCGAAGUCCAGUCAGCCUCAGAGAACGUGGAUGCGGUUCCCGGAGACCAGGGCAGACCAGACCCGCCCCUCCUGAGCAGGUCCAGUGAUGGCAAGUAGGGCAAGAGACUCCUGUCCUGGCCCAUGCAAGCUUCUCCACACAGCCAGACACCAUCUUCAAAAGGAAACAGGAGGGAGACCCCCCCGAGUGCAGAGAAACCACCCUUACAAGGGAUAGGGCUUUGAAAGGACCACAUAUUUUCCUGUAAGAGACGACUUUACAAAAAAAAAAAAAGAGAGACUUUCGGUUUUGUCACCCCUCCUCUCCCCACUGCCAAGACAUCAGCAGGAAAGGGGGCACAGGGCAAAAGGAGAUCAGAUCUGGAAAAUCCAGGCUUUUCACACAACUUAGCCCAAGAACGUACAUUUCACCCCCUACACUCUUCUGUUUUUUUGUUUUGACACAGAGUCUCACUCUGUUACCCAGGCUGGAGUACAAUGGUGCAAUCUCAGCUCAUUGCAACCUCUGCCUCCCAGGUUCAGGUGAUUCUCCUGCCUCAGCCUCCCAAGCAGCUGGGAUUACAGGCUCGCGCCAUCAAGCCCAGCUAAUUUUUGUAUUUUUAUUCGAGGCGGGGUUUCACCAUAUUGGCCAGGCUGGUCUCGAACUCCUGACCUCAAGUGAUCCACCAACCUUGGCUUCCCAAAGUGCUGAGAUUGCAGGCGUGAGCCAUCGCGCCUGGCCCCCUACACUCAUUUCUACUGAUAGUUUCUGCAGAGUUAGGGCACCCUUUUAAGCACCGAUACAGGAGAGGCUCAGGCAGGAAACCAAGGUAGGUUUCACAAGUGCAUCUGCAGAUGGGGCCACCCAGUUGAUCACCAGGAUGUUCACUGGAGCAUGACAUACAAACGCAAAUGUCAGAAGCAACCUACAUAUCCACACGGGACUGGGUAAAUAAAUAAUGAUAACGGACUCUGUGCCACCAUUAAAAUUAUGCUGUCAAAAGUGGUUUCAUGAUAU